UACGAAGGGGGCUAGCGUUGCUCGGAAUCACUGGGCGUAAAGCGCACGUAGGCGGAUUGUUAAGUCGGGGGUGAAAUCCUGGAGCUCAACUCCAGAACUGCCUUCGAUACUGACGAUCUCGAGUCCGGGAGAGGUGAGUGGAACUCCGAGUGUAGAGGUGAAAUUCGUAGAUAUUCGGAAGAACACCAGUGGCGAAGGCGGCUCACUGGCCCGGUACUGACGCUGAGGCGCGAAAGCUAGGGGAGCAAACGGG
rnacentral:rRNA from 1 species